CUUUACUAUGAUAGAAGUUAUAUAUUGCACCGCGAGAGCGCAGUACUAAGGCAAUUAACAAAGUUCUGUUGCGGCUGCGUUUGAGGAUAAGGAUUGCAAUGAUACGUAAUAUUUUUCUUUUUGGACUAUCAAAUGAUAUUUUUAGGUCCUUUAAGUACAGUGUGAAUAUUGCGAAGUUAAAUCUUGUAAAAGAUUUGGGAAAAGUUUAUUGAAAAGUUCCAGAUAGCUGAUUUAAAAUUAUAAAAUUAGCUAUUCAAAAAAGGAGUUAAAAAUGUUUAAUAUUUAUAAUUACUAUUGCGAGAUAUAGAGUUGGUAUUUUGUACCAACAUUCUAAGACUCUUUAAUUGAUCUUUGAAGAGAUGUGAAAGGAACAUCGAAGUCCACGUUUCUACGCAUUUUAUUGGCCAAUAUAAGACGAUGAACGUAUUCCGUAUCUUUGAUAUCUGCGGACGUAUCAAACGCUCGUUUAAUGUAAUUUUUAUUUGAUACCGGCAAAUAUACCGGAUAUUCAAUAUUAAAAGAUAUGACUAGACUUCCUCUUUUCUUCGGACUUUCCGGCAGCGGCAAUCCUUGGCCAGGAUCAAUUCUGUGAAACGUAAAAUAAUUAUUCAGUGAAUGAAACAAAGAGGAGAAGUAGAGAAAGACUGGAUCAGGGAUGGAGACGAUAGACACGUACGUGAUGACAGACGUUAGUGGUAUUCGAAGGGUUCUGUCAUCGAGCGUGUUGACGGUGACCACUGUUCCGGUCAGUGCCUCUCGCAGAAAGAUAUCGACCGUCAUGUGCAAGUCAGAGCCCUCUCUUCGGAAGGUCUCGUGAGGCCGGUCCUCCGUGAUGAAGAUUACAUCCGCUACGCUGACGUGCUUUGGACUGAGUAAAGAUAUUAUGCGAGCUACUACGAUUAACCCAUUUCUGUCCGCUAUGAAAUGUAUGAUGCAUUUUAAAUGUAUCCUUCGCGAUAUCCGAAUCGACAUAAGUUAAAAGGUUAUAACGAACUUUCGUGAAGACAGAAGAAAUUAGCGAUAGUUCCAUACAAUCCGAUUCUACCUCUGAGUAUAUUUCGAAAGUAAAUGAAAAUCUUCAUUUAACCGGACAGAAAUGUUCGAAUUAUAUCUUGUUUAUGAAAUAAAAACAAAGUUAUUCUUUGUUUUAAUUAUUAUAAA